GUGUUCUUAACCGCUGAGCCAUCUCUCCAGCCCCGAGAGAGGUUUACAUUGUCAUCAAGUUAUUCAGGGUCAAGUCCAGGGCAAGACAGACUUUACUAGAGGAAAUCACUCUGAUCUUGGUUAAUUUCUGCUCUACUAGGAGUGUGAGGGCCAGUCUGGUGAUUUCCUAAAGGGACCCAUGUCUUAGGUUGUCUUCUUGUGUCCUGCGGUAGGUAGGCUACACCAUUCGAUUUGAGGAUUGCACCAGCCCAGAAACAGUCAUCAAGUAUAUGACCGAUGGCAUGCUGCUGAGAGAGUGCCUGAUUGACCCUGACCUCACCCAGUACGCUAUCAUCAUGUUGGACGAGGCUCACGAGAGGACCAUUCACACGGAUGUGCUCUUCGGAUUGUUAAAGAAGACAGUUCAAAAACGACAAGACAUGAAGCUGAUUGUCACCUCAGCCACCUUGGAUGCGGUGAAGUUUUCUCAGUACUUCUAUGAAGCUCCCAUCUUCACCAUCCCUGGUCGGACCUAUCCAGUGGAAAUACUGUACACAAAGGAGCCCGAGACAGACUAUUUGGACGCCAGCCUGAUCACUGUUAUGCAGAUCCAUUUAACAGAGCCACCAGGUGAGGGGAGUGGAAGGCUUUUGUCUUAGGCCAAAAAUCCUACUGGGUGUAUUUUUGGCUAGUCUUGUAAGAAACACAUUUUAAAUAUUGUUCUCUUUGUAAGUCUCAGGCAUGCAUAUUUGGAAUAAAAUAUUAUUCCAAAUUAAAAUAGUGAUAUAAUAGUUUAAAAAAGUGAUAUAAGGUUUAAAUGCACUUAAUUAAAUGUAGACAGAUGAUAACCUCUUGGUUUAUUUUUGUGAUUUUUUUUUCUUUUUAGUUU
rnacentral:lncRNA from 1 species